rnacentral:rRNA from 1 species
UACGUAGGGGGCAAGCGUUGUCCGGAAUCAUUGGGCGUAAAGCGCGUGUAGGCGGCCCGAUAAGUCCGCUGUGAAAGUCCAGGGCUCAACCCUGGAAUGCCGGUGGAUACUGUCGGGCUCGAGUCCGGAAGAGGCGAGUGGAAUUCCUGGUGUAGCGGUGAAAUGCGCAGAUAUCAGGAGGAACACCGAUGGCGAAGGCACUCUACUGGGCUAUUACUGACACUCAGAGACGAAAGCUAGGGGAGCAAAUGGG